UUUCCGUAGGUGAACCUGCGGAAAGAUCAUUAUUGUACAAAAUAAGAUGGGAAUGCCAUGUGUGUAUCUGACCCGAAAGUCGGGCACGCCCGAGUGGGGCCUCUUCCAUAUUCAUCGAUAUCAGCCGUUGUGCAUGACCGCGUGAGCACCCUUCGUGAUCAUCUCGGAGUGGGGCUCGCGUUUUCACACAAACCCCCCUUUUAAAAGUGGAAACUCACCGCAUUUAUUCCAUCAAUCCAACUAUCAACAACGGAGCGCUUGGCUCUCGCAUCGAUGAAA
rnacentral:misc_RNA from 1 species